AAACAGAACUAAGUACGUAUUUUUUUAUAACCAAGUGGUGUCUCAUUUCAUAGGAGUGUGUUUUCACCCCUAGCCCUUACCACUCUGUUUU